rnacentral:tRNA from 1 species
GGCAUUGUCACUGCAGUGGCUCAAGUUUGACCCCUGGCCUGGGAACUUGCACCUGCCAUGGGCGUGGCCAAAAAAUAAAAGAUUGAUCACUCUGUUCUGGUAUUGGCAACUGGAUCCAUCAAUGAAAAAGUUCUCCACUGAACUUCCUAAUGGUUUUACUAGCUACCAGUGAUCACUGUCUAGAUCCAUUAUUUUAUUUAGAGACUGAAUAAUAAUGUUUUAUCAUUUUUCUUUUAAUUUUUUUUUUUUUUUUGGCCACAGCGUACAGUGGCUUGAUGUGGGAUCUCAAUUCCCCAGACCAGGGGUUGAACCUGUGCUACAGUGGUGAAAGCACCAAAUCCUAACUGCUGGACCACCAGAGAACUCCUUCAGUUUUCCUUAUUAAUUAAAAUACCUGUAUAAAUAAAACUUUCCCUUACCAACAGUUUGGUUACUCUGCAAACUGCAGUUUGUUCAGGAAAAGAAGUACAAAUGCUUGAUUCUUUUCCUAUACUUUACCAGUUUUUAGAGUAAUGAGUUAACUCUUAACAUCCAGCAAAGGUGACAGUGUGAUCUUGAGUGAAGAAAACCAGACACUAAAGAGUACCUAAUUAAUGAUUCCAUUCAUGCAAAGUUCAAAACAGGAGAACUGAAAUGAUAGUGUUCCAGGCAGUUCCCGUUGUGGCCAGUGGAAACGAAUCCCGACUAGGAACCAUGAGGUUGCGGGUUCUAUCCCUGGCCUCGCUCUGUGGGGUUAAGGAUCUGUGUCGCUGUGAGCAGUGGUGUAGGUCACAGGUGUGGCUCGGAUCUGCUGUGGCUGUGGCAGGCAGCUGUAGCUCUGAUUGGACCCCUAACCUGGGAAUCUUCAUAUGGCAUGAGUGCAGCCCUAAAAAGCAAAAAAAAAAAAAAAAAAAAAGAAAAGAAAUGAUAGUGCUCCAGUAUGCAUGCAUUUUAAAUAUAUAUGAUAAAAAUAUGAAAUUAUAAAACAAGGCAAUAAUUGCCAUUAGUCAGGGUUUAUGAAGGUGUUUUGAUGUAGAAGGGAAACUCAGAAGGCUUCCAGAGUUCUGGCAAAGGUCUAUUUCUUGACUGAGGUAGUAGGUACAUGCAUAUUCACUUCAUAAUAAUUCCUCAAGCUGUACAUAUGUUUUAGGCAAUUUUUGCUACAUGUGUAUAUUUUAUACUAAAAAAAAGUUUUUGAAAAAUUCCAAACAACUGGGACUCUGGUUUAAUUACUUUUCUUUUGAAAACAAUUAAUACCUUCAGUCACUAGGAACUUUGAAAACUCUGCUCAAAUGAAUGGAUAGUCAAAAGGCAUCCUAGAAAAUCCAAUAUUUGCUCCCUUUAAAAACUGUAGGGUUGUUCUGUAAUUUGACAAAGAAUAUCUUACACUGAAUGCUAACCUCAUACUUAGUAAUUUCUCUAAAGAGGCAUAUUCCCAAGCAUUCUCACCAUCAGCAUUAUUAUAAUUGUUCUAGAUAGUGUGGCCAAAUAAAGUAUAGCUGACCAAAAAGAAUAUAACUACUAGACAAACUUAUCUUUGUCAGUGACUAGAGAACUAUAAGGCCUAGGAUGACAAACUGAAGAACUCCUUGAAUUAAUGCUAAACUCAUAACACAGUAGAUAGCCAUGAAAACCAGUUAGAGGAGGUAAUAGAAACAAUCAUAGUAAUAGUAAAAAAAAACACAAUAGCUUUUGUAUUAAGAUAAGUGUGCCCUUGGAGUUCCCAUGGUGGCUCAGUGGUAAUGAACCUGACUAGUAUUCAUAAGGAUGUGGGUUUGAUCCCUGGCCUCACUCAGUGGGUUAAGGAUCUAGUGUGGCUGUGGCAUAGGCCGGCAGCUCCCGCUCCAAUUUGAUUCCUAGCCUGGGAACUUGCAUAUGCCACAGGUGCAGCC